AGGAUGAACGCUGGCGGCGUGCUUAACACAUGCAAGUCGAACGAUGAAGGCUGGAGCUUGCUCUGGCUGGAUUAGUGGCGAACGGGUGAGUAACACGUGAGUAACCUGCCCCAGACUCUGGGAUAAGCGCUGGAAACGGCGUCUAAUACCGGAUACGAGCUUCCACCGCAUGGUGAGGAGCUAGGAAAGAAUUUCGGUCUGGGAUGGACUCGCGGCCUAUCAGUCUUGUUGGUGAGGUAAUGGCUCACCAAGGCGACGGACGGGUAGCCGGCCUGAGGAGGGUCGACCGGCCACACGUGGACUGACGACGACGGCCCAGACGUCCGACGGGAGGCAGCGAGGUAGGGGAAUAGUUGAC
rnacentral:rRNA from 1 species